rnacentral:rRNA from 1 species
AGCGGCGGACGGGUGAGUAACGCGUGGGUAACCUGCCUCAUACAGGGGGAUAACAGUUGGAAACGGCUGCUAAUACCGCAUAAGCGCACAGUACCGCAUGGUACGGUGUGAAAAACUCCGGUGGUAUGAGAUGGACCCGCGUCUGAUUAGCUAGUUGGUGGGGUAACGGCCUACCAAGGCGACGAUCGGUAGCCGGACUGAGAGGUUGAACGGCCACAUUGGGACUGAGACACGGCCCAG